UUUCUCCUCCUCUCAUCCCUCUUCGUCUCUGUCCCGUAGACGACGGAAAAAAGGGGCUACGCCCGGCCACCGGCUGCUGUCGACGGCGUCGAAUGCCACCACGCCGCGCCAGCUACUCUUUCCCUUCCCCUUCCAUUUCUCCCUCCAUCAUCCGCCUCCUGUGGCAGAGAGAGAGGGACGCAACUGCACCCUCCUCUGCUCGCCGUUUCUUUCGAUGGAGUGGUGACACCCCCUAUUGAUCCCCUUUCCAGCGUGCCCGAGCUCCCGAAGGGGAGCGCGCCACUGUCAAGCGGCUCGGUGGCGGUGCCUUUGCCCCGAAGGGGUCUGUGAUUUCAGCAUCUUCAUCGAUCUGAACACGGUAAAAAAGGAAAGGGUUGUUCUUCUUUUAUUGUAAUUGAUCUAGGAAGUGUAGGUCUCAUUUGCUUUUCUAUCUACCGUGAAAAAUCUAACCCUAGAACUGCUCUGACACCAAUGUUAAGUUCUCUAAGAACAUCUAGGCUAGAGAUUAUCGGUAGAACCAUCUAUAUGUCGAAUCUAUCUAGUCAUCUGAGAAGGGAGGACAGAGAGAUGGGGAAGUAGAGGAGUACCAUCUCUUUGGCUCGAUGAGCCCGUGGUGCCGGACAUGGUGGAGGCGACGGUGAUGGCAGGGUGUGGUCAAGGCGGCGGUGACAGAGCUUCCCGUCACUACUACACUGACCUAGAUCCGUAGGUGUGUCGGUGGGGUGUACGGCUCACGACGAAUCUCGUGUUGCGUGCCGCCGGCCCCCACCUCUUUAUCUAGCGCAGGUGACAGGGGGCCAUCAACCAUAGUGAGUUGGGCGCCGCUGAUCAGGGCACGGAUCUAAGGGCCCGAUGGGCCGUUGGGCCCACAUGGGAGGAGAUCAACCUAACAGCCUCCUCUCCAAGAAAAGAACUUAGGGUUCUUCUGCGAACCGCUGGUGCCGUCGCCGUCACCGGUCUACCUCGUCUCUGAUGUGGCCCUAGGGCUAUGGAGGCCCGGUGGACCCCGGUCUUUGCCGGCGGAAGGGAUCUUGCUUCCUUUUUAGGUGUUUUUGUGAGUUCGUUUUGGGUUUGCGUCUUGCUCAAGAAGAUGAGGCGGUGGCGGCUCCCUGAAGAGGAAUAAUAUUCUCACGCGUAGCCUCUAUUCUGACAAUGCAUCUAGCAUCGUCGGAGGGCGCAUGGAGGUUGGGUUCUCUUGAUCUAUACUUCUCUUCAUCGACGACGGUUGCUGUUCUGGUGUGCUGGCCCUAUGAGGCCUUAGCAGCACGACGACUUCCUGACUGUCUACUACGAUAAGUUUGACCCGGCUCUGGCCAGGGAGGGGCCAUAAUGGCAGCACACCUUCACCUUGAUGCGGUGCUUGUAGUCGUAGCUAUGUGGUAUAGGGACAUGGAUGUAAUUUUGUUAUUUCUGUUAUUCUUUGCACUGCCAUGGUAGAUGACGAUAGAUCAUUUUUUUUUUGCAAAAAUAAAAACACAAGGAACAACGUUAUGAUUUAACGACCUUAAUUUUUCACCAAA